rnacentral:rRNA from 1 species
GGUGAGGAAUUCGUCGGAAUCUGCCUUUUUGUGGGGGAUAACGUAGGGAAACUUACGCUAAUACCGCAUACGACCUACGGGUGAAAGUGGGGGACCUUAGGGCCUCACGCAGAAAGAUGAGCCGACGACCGAUUAGCUAGUUGGUGGGGUAAAGGCUCACCAAGGCGACGAUCGGUAGCUGGUCUGAGAGGAUGAUCAGCCACACUGGGACUGAGACACGGCCCAGACUCCUACGGGAGGCAGCAGUGGGGAAUAUUGGACAAUGGGCGCAAGCCUGAUCCAGCCAUGCCGCGUGUGUGAAGAAGGCCUUCGGGUUGUAAAGCACUUUUGUUCGGAAAGAAAUCUUCCAGCUUAAUACGUUGGGAGGAUGACGGUACCGGAAGAAUAAGCACCGGCUAACUUCGUGCCAGCAGCCGCGGUAAUACGAAGGGUGCAAGCGUUACUCGGAAUUACUGGGCGUAAAGCGUGCGUAGGCGGUUUGUUAAGUCUGAUGUGAAAUCCCCGGGCUCAACCUGGGACGUGCAUUGGAAACUGGCGAUCUAGAGUACGGUAGAGGGUGGUGGAAUUCCCGGUGUAGCAGUGAAAUGCGUAGAGAUCGGGAGGAACACUCGUGGCGAAGGCGGCCACCUGGACCAGUACUGACGCUGAGGCACGAAAGCGUGGGGAGCAAACAGGAUUAGAUACCCU